AGCAACCAAGGCGAUGGAGUUCGCCGAUAACCGCCUGUCGAACAGACGGCUAAUGACUCCUGCGAUCCC
rnacentral:ncRNA from 2 species